ensembl:lncRNA
CCUGGCCAUGAUAAAGCAAAGCAGUUCAACACAGAGUUACACAUGGAAUAAACAAACAUACAGUCAAUAACACAAUAGAAAAGUGUAUAUACAGUGUGCGAAAAUGAAGUAAGAUAAGGGAGGUAAGGCAAUAAGGCCAUAGUGGCACAAUAAUUAUAAUUUAGCAAUUAAACACUAUAGUGAUAGAUGUGCAGAAGAUGCAGAGUAGAGUGUUGGAGGCUAUUUUAUAAAUGACAUCGCCAAAGUCAUAUCAGUAGGAUGGUCAGCAUAAGUGAAGGAUGCUUUGUUGCAAAAUAGGAAGCCAAUUCUAGAUUUAAUUUUGGAUUGGAGAUGUUUAAUGUGAGUCUGGAAGGAGAGUUUACAGUCGAAACCAGACACCGAGGUAUUUGUAGUUGUCCACAUAUUCUAAGUCAGAACCGCCCAGAGUAGUGAUGCUAGACAGGCAGGCAGGUGCGGGCAGCGAUCGGUUGAAGAGCAACAGAACAGUUGUGCGGAACUGGAAGAAAACGAAACAUUCCGGAGGACCCAUCAUCCUUCCACUCUCUCCUCUCCGUGGCAAGUACGCAAAAUUACAUGUGAGCAAUAUGUAUAGUGUAGUAAGUGUGAAGAGGCUGUAAGAAAACAAGUUAAACACUUGUUGUAUUUUAUUGCAUUUGUUUAUUGAUGUUUGUUGAUGUUUUUUAUUCUUGGCAGUGGGUGUAGGCCAAGGCCGGACUGUCUCCUGAACUCACCGUUUAACAGAUCCGGAGAUUGGAGGGAUGAGAGAGUGGGCAGAAACGGUUAAGGUAGGAGAGGUUGGGGCAGAGCUGGUUAAGGUAGGAGAGGUUGAGGCAGGAAUUUUUAAGGUAGGGGAGGUUGGGGCAGGGCUGGUUAAGGUAGGAGAGGUUGGGGCAGGGCUGGUUAAGGUAGGAGAGGUUGGGGCAGGGCUGGUUAAGGUAGGAGAGGUUGGGGCAGAGCUGGUUAAGGUAGGAGAGGUUGGGGCAGAGCUGGUUAACGUAGGAGAGGUUGGGGCAGAGCUGGUUAAGGUAGGAGAGGUUGGGGCAGGGCUGGUUUGUGAUGGCUGGGUGGAAUGGGUUGUGAUUACCGGUAAUGGGAAUGGGGAAAAUAAGAAAUCAAAGUGUGGUGCAGUAGGUGAUAUUAAUGUGAAGGGACUGGACAUGGAGGCUGAUGGUGUUCCCAGAGGAAGGGUGGCUGAGGCACAAAUCCUGUAUGUCCAGGAUUUGUUGGAGCAGAUUGACUUGGGAGCCCUGUGGUGUCCAGCCAGAUGUGAUGGGUUGGGGUGUAGAGCCAGAGUGGAUGGAGUGAGAUGGUGCAGCACAGGAGGUGAUGGAUUGGGGUGGCACUGUUAGUGCUGGCCAAAGUGUUGAUGGUGAGGGUAGCUCCUCCAUGGGGGUAAAGCUGACUCCACAGUUCCCUCUGCUGCUGGUGGGGGACCAGAGUUGGAGAUUUCUCCCUG